rnacentral:hammerhead_ribozyme from 1 species
GUCCAGCUGACGAGUCCCAAAUAGGACGGAACGCGCGUUAUGGAU